rnacentral:rRNA from 1 species
UACGUAGGGUGCAAGCGUCGUCCGGAAUUAUUGGGCGUAAAGAGCUCGUAGGCGGUCUGUCACGUCGGGAGUGAAAACUCGGGGCUUAACCCCGGGCCUGCAGUGGGUACGGGCAGACUAGAGUGCGGUAGGGGAGACUGGAAUUCCUGGUGUAGCGGUGAAAUGCGCAGAGUAUCAGGAGGAACACCGGUGGCGAAGGCGGGUCUCUGGGCCGUAACUGACGCUGAGGAGCGAAAGCAUGGGGAGCGAACAGG